rnacentral:lncRNA from 1 species
UCUAGACCAGCUUAUAUAGGUUUCAUAAAUAGAUACACACUCUCAUUCUUUCCUUCUCUCUCCACCACAAUGUCAGAGAGAUAAAAAAAGAGUGCACAAAAUCCUUGAACCUCUUCUGCUUUUACCUUUAUUUCAACGCCAGAAAUCAUCAUCAUCAUGUCUCUCUUUUAUUGUCUUCUCUAUCAUCAUCAUUAUUCCCACAUCAUCCUCUUCUCUCUAGGUCUCAACCACCCCACAAACCUAAACCCAUCAUCAUUACUUCAACUUACAAACAAGGUUAAGAUCUCACUCCACUCUCUUUUUCAGAAACUUGUAUUGCUUCAUCAACCAAAAAAGUUAACCCUAUUAUUAUUAUUACUACAUGCACCCCCACCACCAUCACUUUCUUAUAUAGUUUCUGACUGAAGAAAGAAGGGUACAUCAGUACUUUCAUUCAUUCUCAAACUCUCUUAUGGGGAAUCAAGCAUCUUGGUCCGAUUCAUAAUUAAUUUGCUACUUCAAGCAAGUUAGUUUGACUCUACUUUUUAGCUUUUAAGUGUGUUCUUUCUUUUCUUUUUGUAAACUUUUUCUUGAUGUUGGUUAUUUUUCAUGGUAAAGUUUUUGAAUCUAGAUAUAUCUAGGGUUUAUGUGUGUAUCCAUGAAAAGUGAUGUAAACUUAAUUAUUAUGAUCUUUUGUAUGUUCUUAAUUUGAGCUAUGCUGCUAGUACUAGUUUAAUUUUCCAUCCCUGGUUUGUAUUGAACUCUCUUAAAUUAUGUAUAUUUGUUUUUAUGCGGUUUAUAUAUUUACAUAUACAUAGAUCUCAUCAAGUUUAAGAAGGUAUCUACAUCCUAAACAAAAAGAAAUUGAAGUUUUCUGUUAGAUCUAUA